GACGAACGCUGGCGGCGUGCCUAACACAUGCAAGUCGAACGGAGUUAAGUGCUUCGGUAUUUAACUUAGUGGCGAACGGGUGAGUAACGCGUGAGAAACCUGCCUUUCAGUGGGGGACAACAGUUGGAAACGACUGCUAAUACCGCAUGAUACUUUUUGGGGGUCGAUCCCUAAAAAGUACAAAGACUUUAUGUGCUGAAAGAUGGUCUCGCGUCUGAUUAGGUAGUUGGUGGGGUAACGGCCUACCAAGCCGACGAUCAGUAGCCGACCUGAGAGGGUGACCGGCCACAUUGGGACUGAGACACGGCCCAA
rnacentral:rRNA from 1 species